GACUGCCCUGCUGGAUUUCAGACUGGCAUGGGGCCUGUGACCUGUUUUGGCCAAUUUCUCCCAUUUGCAACGGGCGUUAUUUAUCCAAUACCUGUGCCUCCAUUGUACCUAGGAAAUAACUAACUUGCUUUUUAUUUUACAGGCUCAUAAACAGAAGAGACUUGCUUGUCUCAGAUGAAACUUUGGACUGUGGACUUUUGAGUUAAUGCUGAAAUAAGACUUUGGGGGACUGUUGGGGAGGCAUGAUUGGUUUUGAAAUGUGAGGACAUGAGAUUUGGGAGGGACCAGGGGCAAAAUGAUAUGGUUUGGCUGUGUCCCCACCAAAUCUCAUCUUGAAUUGCAGCUCCCAUGAUCCCCACAUGUGGGAGGGACCCGGGGGGAGGUAACUGAAUCAUGGGGGUGGGAUUUUCCCAUGCUGUUCUCAUGAUAGUGAAUAAAUCUCAUGAGAUCUUAUGGUUUUAUAAAGGGCAGUUUCCCUGCACGGGCUCUCUCUUGCCCGCCACCACGUAAGACAUGUGUUUGCUCCUCCUUCACCUUCUGCCAUGAUUGUGAGGUCUCUCUAGCCGUGUGAAACUGUGAGUCCAUUAAACUUCUUUUUCUUUAU
rnacentral:lncRNA from 1 species